UACGUAGGGGGCAAGCGUUGUCCGGAUUCAUUGGGCGUAAAGAGCGUGUAGGCGGCCAGGUAGGUCGGUUGUGAAAACUGGAGGCUCAACCUUCAGAGGUCGACCGAAACCAUCUGGCUAGAGUCCGGGAGAGGAGAGUGGAAUUCCUGGUGUAGCGGUGAAAUGCGCAGAUAUCAGGAAGAACACCCGUGGCGAAGGCGGCUCACUGGUCCGGUACUGACGCUGAGGUGCGAAAGCGUGGGGAGCAAACAGG
rnacentral:rRNA from 1 species